UAUGAGGAAUAUGGCAGCGUCCUGAGCGCUGUUGGGGGGAAUACGGCGUAAACUGAGUACCUUCAGCAUCAGACUGGGACAACUGAGACACGCUCAGAGGAGGGUGGGGGGCCGAGGGACGGCUACGAAUAACACCCGUUAGCAGUUUUACAGGUCCUGUGAGAAGAUGAAUGUCGUCAAAGAAAACAAAGACCUGGCCUGUUUCUACACCACCAAACACUCUUGGAGGGGGAAGUACAAGCGAGUCUUCUCAGUGGGGACGCACGGCAUUACCACUUACAAUCCCACCACGCUAGAAGUAACGAAUCAGUGGCCUUAUGGAGACAUCUGCGGCAUCGGCCCGGUCGGGAAAGGUCAGGGGACGGAGUUCAACCUCACGUUCCGCAAAGGCAGCGGCAAGAAGUCGGAAACGCUCAAGUUCUCCACAGAGCACCGGACAGAGCUGCUCACGGAAGCGCUGAGAUUCAGAACAGAGUUUUCAGAGGGGAAGAUAACUGGAAGGCGGUACAACUGCUACAAGCAUCACUGGAGUGACACACGCAAGGCCGUAUGUUUAGAGGUGACGCCGGGCGGCAUCGACCAGAUCGACCCCCACACGAAUCGAGUAGUGUGCUCGUACGACUAUCGAAAUGUAGAGGGCUUCGUCGAGCUCUCUGACUACCAGGGAGGGUUCUGCAUCCUUUACGGCGGCUUCAGCCGGCUGCAUCUGUUCGCCUCAGAAAAUCGAGACGAAAUCAUCCGGAGCGCCAUAGAGCAUGCCGGGAACUUCAUCGGCAUCAUGCUGCGGCUGAGGAAGGAGUCUUUGACCUAUGAGGAUUUCGUGACCGACAGGUUGGGGAAAUACAGCUCGGACGAGAGCAUCACUUCUCUGGCCGAGUUCGUAGUGCAGAAGAUCACCCCUCGACACCCGGAGCCCGUUAAACGAAUUCUGGCCUUGACGGAAACGUGUUUAGUGGAGAGAGACCCGGCUUCGUACAACAUAGUCACGAUCAAACCCUUUGGAGAGGUAUUUGCUCUCAUCUGUGAUGUCGACAACCCUCAGGUGUUUACAGUGGAAUUCAUCAGAGGUCAGAUCAGAAAGUUCUCCUCCACAGAAAGGGACUCCCUGUUAGCCAGCCUGCUCGAUGGAGUCCGUGCGUCGGGUAACAGGGACGUAUGUGUCAAGAUGGCCCCCACGCAGCGAGGGCAGAGGUGGGGCUUGCUGAGCAUGCCCGUGGACGAGGAGGUGGAGAGUUUGCAUCUCAAAUUCCUGGCGGCGCCUCCUAAUGGAAACUUUGCAGAUGCGGUGUUCAGAUUCAACGCCAACAUAUCUUACAGCGGCGUGCUGCAUGCAGUAACCCAAGAUGGUCUUUUCUCUGAGAACAAAGAGAAGCUCAUCAACAACGCCGUCCUGGCUCUUUUAACCCAGGACGCCGAGCUUCCGGCUCAGAACGCUGAGCUGGAAAGCCAUUUUCAGGCCAUCCGACGCCUGGUGGCCUCCAAGGCCGGCUUCCAGGCUUUCACUCAGCUGCCCAAGUCUGGUCAAGGGUCUGGACUCACAGAUGCAACGUUCAGGGAAAAGUUGGGAGUAAAGACGGUAAAAGCUUUAAAAAGGAACAACAAUAGCGUGACACAUGCUGCUAUAGACAUGCUCUGUGCCCUUAUGUGUCCGAUGCACGAUGAUUACGACCUGAGGCAGGAGCAGCUGAACAAGGCCUCACUGCUGUCCUCCAAGAAGUUCCUGGAAAACCUUCUUGAAAAGUUCAUCACUAAUGUGGACCAGGGAACGGGAGCUUUGGUCAUCAGCUCCUUGUUGGACUUCUUAACGUUUGCCCUCUGCGCCCCCUACAGUGAAACAACAGAGGGGCAGCAGUUCGACAUGCUGCUGGAGAUGGCUGCUUCCAACGGUCGAACCCUGUUCAAACUAUUCCAGCAUCCCUCCAUGGCAAUAGUGAAGGGAGCAGGUCUGGUCAUGAAAGCCAUUAUUGAGGAGGGAGACAAAGAAAUAGCCACUAAGAUGCAGGAGCUGGCUUUGAGUGAAGGGGCUCUGCCGAGGCAUCUGCACACGUCUUUGUUCACCAUCAGUGCAGACCAGCGGAUGCUCACCAACAGGCAACUGAGUCGACACCUGGUGGGACUGUGGACUGCAGAGAAUCCUGUUGCCAUGAACCUCCUGAAGAGGAUAUUGCCAACGGGCUUGCUGGCGUACCUUGACAGUCCGGACCCUGUUCCAGAGAAAGAUGUGGACAGAAUGCACAUCCGAGACAACUUGAAAAUCGCCACGGAUCAGCUAAAUCGAAACAAGGUGCCUGAGUGGCAGCGGAUAGCAGGCAAAGCGGCCAAAGAGGUGGAGAAGUUCGCCAAGGAGAAAGCUGACGUGGUGCUGAUGCACUGGAGAGACAAGAUGGGCAUAGCCCAGAAGGAGCAGGACAGAAAUAACCUGAAUCCAAACCAAAAGCCUGUCAUCCUGAGAAAGAGAAGACAAAGAAUAAAGAUUGAAUCAAAUUGGGAGCUUUUCUACUACAGGUUCCAGCUGGACCACGCGAGAUCCAACCUCAUCUGGAACCUGAAAACGAGGGAGGAGCUGCGGGACGCCCUGGAGGGCGAGAUGCGCGCCUUCAGUGUGGACCGCGAGCUCGGCAGCGCCACCGUCAUCUCCUGGAACCACCAGGAGUUUGAGGUGAAAUACGAGUGCCUUUCAGACGAGAUAAAGAUCGGCGAUUAUUACUUGCGCCUGCUGUUGGAGGAGGAUGAAAACGCAGAAUCGAGUGCCAUCAAGAGAUCAUACGAGUUCUUCAACGAGCUCUACCAUCGCUUUUUGCUCACACCCAAAGUUACGAUGAAGUGCCUGUGCCUGCAGGCGCUGGCGAUAGUCUACGGGAAGUGCUACGAGGAGAUCGGACCCUUCACAGACACAAAAUACAUCGUGGGCAUGCUGGACCGGUGUACAGACAAGCUGGAGAGAGACAGACUCAUCCUCUUCCUCAACAAGCUCAUUCUCAACAGGAAAAAUGUGAAGGAAGUCAUGGAUUCAAAUGGAGUUCGCAUCCUCGUGGACCUUCUCACUUUGGCCCAUCUUCAUACCAGCAGAGCUACUGUGCCUCUACAGAGCAACGUGCUGGAGGCGGCACCAGACAUGAAGAGGGAGAGCGAGAAGGAGUGGUACUUUGGUAACGCAGACAAGGAAAGAAGAGGACCUUUCAGUUUUGAGGAGAUGCAGGAGUUUUGGAACACAGGCGUCCUGACUGCAAAGACACGCUGCUGGGCUCAGGGCAUGGACGGUUGGCGCCCCCUGCAGGCCAUUCCUCAACUGAAGUGGUGCCUCCUGGCCACAGGGCAGGCGGUGAUGAACGAGUCGGACCUGGCCACGCUGAUCCUCAACAUGCUCAUCACCAUGUGCUCCUACUACCCCAGCAGGGAUCAGGAUAAUGCCAUUAUCCGUCCUUUACCCAAGAUCAAGAGGAUGAUCACUGAUAACGCCUGUCUCCCUCAUAUUGUCCAGCUGCUGUUAACCUUUGACCCCAUUCUGGUGGAGAAGGUUGCCAAUGUUUUAUACUUGGUGAUGCAAGACAACCCCAACCUGCAGCGCCUCUAUUUGACAGGAGUCUUCUUCUUCAUCAUGAUGUACACAGGCUCCAACGUGCUUCCUGUUGCAAGAUUCCUCAAAUACACUCACCUGAAACAAGCCUUCAAAUCAGAGGAGUCUAAGGGUCAGGACAUAGUGCAGCGCAGCGUGUUGGGACCAGUGUUGCCCGAAGCCAUGGUGUGUUACCUGGAGAACUACGAGGCCGAGCGCUUUUCUGAGAUUUUCCUUGGGGAGUUUGACACACCUGAGGCCAUUUGGAGCAGUGAGAUGAGGCGGAUGAUGAUAGAGAAGAUAGCAGCCCACGUAGCUGACUUCAGCCCCAGGCUGCAGAGCAACACGCGGGCCCUGUACCAGUACUGCCCCAUCCCUGUGAUCAGCUUCCCUCAGCUGGACAACGAGCUCUUCUGCAACAUCUACUACCUCAGACAUCUGUGUGACACUGUCCGCUUCCCCAACUGGCCCAUUCGAGAUGCUGUGAAACUUCUAAAAGACACUCUUGAAGCCUGGAAGAGGGAGGUGGAGAAAAAGCCUCCCUCGAUGUCUGUGGAUGACGCCUAUGAAGUUCUCAACCUCCCCAAAGGACAGGGACAGCACGAAGAGAGUAAAAUCAGGAAGGCCUACUUCAGACUGGCGCAGAAGUACCAUCCUGACAAAAACCCAGAAGGCCGAGACAUGUUUGAGAAAGUUAACAAAGCCUACGAGUUCCUCUGCACCAAGUCGGCCCGAAUCCUGGACGGGCCUGACCCAGAAAACAUCAUCCUCAUCCUCAAAACCCAGAGCAUCCUGUUCAACAGACACAAACAAGAGCUGGAGCCUUACAAAUACGCCGGUUACCCCAUGCUCAUCAAAACAAUCACUAUGGAGACGGAGGAUGAUCAGCUGUUCUCCAAAACCUCCCCUCUCCUCCCCGCUGCUGCUGAACUGGCCUUCCACACUGUAAACUGCUCGGCUCUUAAUGCGGAAGAGCUGCGUCGCGAGAACGGCAUCGAGGUAUUGCUGGAGGCUCUGUCUCGGUGUGUCGCUGUGUUAACUGCAUCCAGUAAGCCCGAAGACAUGGCUGUACAGGUGUGCGGGCACAUCUGUAAGUGCUACAGUGUGGCAGCGCAGUUUGAAGAAUGCAGGGAAAAGAUCAUCGAACUGCCCAACAUCAUCCGGGACCUCUGUCACAUCCUGUACUACGGGAAGGGUCUCGCAAAGACUGCAGCCUUGGCGGUUCAGUGCGUCAGCUCCUUCGCAGUGGAUUACUUCCUGCAGACUCAUCUUUACCACGCCGGCGUGCUGUGGCACCUGCUGGUCCACCUCUUCAACUACGACUACACCCUGGAGGAGAGCGGGGUGCAGGCUAACCAGGACACAAACCAGCAGGAGGUCGCUAACAGCUUGGCUAAGCUCAGCCUGGUGGCUCUCAGCCGCCUGGGAGGCUACACGCAAAAACCGCACACAACAGAUGGCAACAACCCUGUUCCAGAGACCAACGGCGUAGAAGGCACACCUCCAGAAAACCCUACUAUACGCAAGAGCUUAGCCGCCAUGCUGACACCCUACAUCUCAAGGAAGCUAGGAACAGGAACUCCUCCAGAGGUCUUGAAGCUGCUGAAUAGUAACUCAGAGAAUCCUUACUUGAUCUGGAACAAUGGAACCAGAGCAGAGCUGAUGGAGUUCCUAGAGAGUCAACAAGAAGGAAACAUCAAGAGGGGAGAGAACGACAAAAGCUUCGGCGCAGAGUUUUUGUUCAGCGAUCACAGCAAAGAGCUCAUAGUUGGGGAGAUUUUUGUCCGAGUCUACAAUGAACAACCAUCUUUUCCACUGGAAUUCCCCAAAGCCUUUGCUGCCAGUCUGCUGGACUAUGUCGGCUCCCAAGCUCAGUACCUCCACACUCUGCUGGCCAUGAGUCAGAGUAACAAGGUGGAGUCCCAGCAGCAUGCAGAGCGGCUUCGCUUCGCUGAAAUGGCUUUAGAGGCUCUGCGCAACGUCAUCAAGAACAACCCUGGUUCCGAGUCGGAGUGCAUCGGUCACUUCAAGCUGCUCUUCUCUUUGCUGCGUGUUCAUGGAGCUGGCCGAGUGCAGCAGCUGGUUUUGGAGGUUGUCAACACAGUGACAUCAAACCAAGAAUGUGUGAGCAACAUCGCAGACUCUCUGGUGUUGUCCAACCUUCUGCUGUUGCUGCACUCACUUCCCUCCAGCAGGCAAAUCGUGCUGGAAACCCUCCAUGCGCUGACUUCCAACACGAAGAUAGUGAAAGAGGCCAUGGCCAAAGGUGCGCUCAUCUAUCUGCUGGACCUAUUCUGCAAUUGCACGCACCCCCAGGUCCGCACACAGACCGCGGAGCUCUUCUCCAAGAUGACGUCAGACAAGCUGGUUGGGCCAAAGGUGCGCCUGACGCUGAUACGAUUCCUUCCGGGUGUGUUCAUGGACGCAAUGCGAGACAACGCUGAGGCGGCUGUUCACAUAUUUGAAGGAACGCACGAAAACCCUGAGCUCAUCUGGAAUGACAACUCAAGGGAGAAAGUGUCCACAACCGUCCGGGAGAUGAUGCUCGAGCACUUUAAACAGCAGAAGGAUAAUCCUGACGUCAACUGGAGAUUGCCUGAAGACUUCACGGUGGCUUACGGAGCAGCACAGGGCGAGCUGGAAGUGGGCGGAGUCUUCUUGCGCAUCUUCAUUGCUCAGCCUGGCUGGGUGCUGCGCAAGCCCAGAGAGUUCCUGGUGUCUCUUUUGGAAACCCUGACCGAGCUGCUGGAGAAGAACAACCCCAACGGUGAGGCCCUGGAGACGGUCACCACGGCCGCAGUUUGCCUCUUCAGCACCCAGACCCAGCUGGCCGACCAGGUUCCCCCUCUGGGUCACCUCCCUCGCAUCCUGGCAGCACUCAACCACAAGAACAAUGCUGUGCCCAAGAGCUCCAUUCGCCUCAUCCAUGUCUUGUCGGACAACGAGCUGUGCGUGCGUUCCAUGUCUUCUCUGGAGACGAUCGGCCCCCUGAUGACCGGGAUGAAAGUCCGUGCAGACAUGGCCGGACUGGCUUGUGAAGCCCUGAACCGCAUGUUCCAGAAGGAGCAGACGGAACUAGUCGCGCAGGCCCUGCGAGUGGAGCUCGUUCCGUACCUCCUGAAAUUACUGGAAGGCAUCGGCCUGGAGACGCUAGAAAACCCCUCGGCCACUAAGGCCCAGAUAGUAAAAGCUCUUAAGUCCAUGACUCGCAGUCUUCAGUAUGGAGAGCAGGUGAAUGAAAUCCUUGCGAGGUCCUCAGUGUGGAGUGCCUUCAAAGACCAGAAGCAUGAUCUUUUCAUCUCAGAGUCUCAGACUGCAGGCUACCUGACAGGGGUAUCCACUCCUUCUCUCCUGGCCGCCAGCAGCCCACUGCGAGGUGGGCUCUAGACUCCCCGAGCUAGGCCCUCACAGCCCACCUCUCUCUUGCUCUGAUGCAGGUCCAGGAGUAGCAGGUUACCUUACAGCAGGAACUGGCACCACGGUGAUGUCCAGCGUCCCACCCCCCGUGGAUAACGACAACGGAGACCAAGGCUGAAGGACACACACACACACACACACACUAACAGUCACGGCUCAGGCACCCAGACUGCCUCGCAGCUUCACGGCCGCUGCACAGAGAAAGACUGUACUGUCCGGCUCCCCACGAUGGGAUAGAAAAAACAAAAACAAAAAAAAAAACAACAAACAAACUAAAGGCCGGGGGGAGAGCUGGCCACGAUUGACUGUCACCAAAAUCUCUACAACAGUAUCACUCUCCUUUCCCUCUUUUACAAAUGUCACUCAAGUCUUCACAAGCGCUUUGUUUUAACCGAUGACCACAUUUGUUUUGUUUCUGUGAUGUUUCUUGUUUCUUCCAAUGAUGACAGAUAAAGUUUACUUUUUGUAUGAAUAUAUUUUUUACUCUAGAUUUUUUUUUUUUUUUUUUUCAUGACACAUAUAUGGGAAGACUGAGGCUGGUUAUUGGUAAAUUGACUCUACUCCUGUAUUCCUAUUUGUCAUAUCCAGAUUGGCUUCACUGCACAUCUGUGCACAGGACCUAUCCAGCUCUUACAUAAACACGUCAUUUAACUGGUCUAUUUAAUAGACAGCCCUGUGGAAAAGGAAACUGUUAACGCGAUCAAUGAAUUCCCUGCCCUGUUUCUCCAGAAGAAAAGUGUCACUUUAAGACUGUUGAUGACCUUUUGUCUCUCUCGCUGAGGUCUAAUGAUCUGCUCUACAAAUGUUCUGCCUUCCUCCUCCGAUUUCCUCACACUUCGUUCUGCUCUCUCCUCCAAGGCUACCGUGUCCUGCCUCACAUUUUUAAAGUAAUUCUCCCCCCAGAAUGCAAAAAGCACUAGAAUAUUUAUAAGUGAAUAAUAACCACAGGAAAUGAGCUUCUGCUGACUUGACAAAUGACGUUGAUCCUGAUUACGAAUCUAUGUGAAAGACUAGUGCAAUUUGUGAAAUGUUCAAUGUAAUAUUACGUAUAUAAACUUUCUAUAUUGAAUGUACAUUAAAAAAAAAAUAAAUCAGUCACACUUGUACAUAAAAUUUUAAGAAUAAAAGGGAACCCACAGUGUUGUUCUUUUGUAUUUACAUUUGUGUUUGUCUGACAUUAAAGAGCUGUGUCUGUG